rnacentral:rRNA from 1 species
UACGUAGGGGGCAAGCGUUGUCCGGAAUCAUUGGGCGUAAAGCGCGUGUAGGCGGCUCGGUAAGUCUGCUCUGAAAGUCCAAGGCUCAACCUUGGGAUGCGGGUGGAUACUGCCGGGCUCGAGUCCGGAAGAGGCGAGUGGAAUUCCUGGUGUAGCGGUGGAAUGCGCAGAUAUCAGGAGGAACACCAAUAGCGAAGGCAGCUCGCUGGGACGGUACUGACGCUGAGGCGCGAAAGCGUGGGGAGCGAACAGG